rnacentral:tRNA from 1 species
GGAGAGGUCGCAUAGUGGUCUAGUGCCCCCGUCUGGAAAGCGGGUAGCCGAAAGGCUCGCGGGUUCGAAUCCCGCCCUCUCCG